CAGCAGCAAGUUAUUCCUCAGAAAACUGUGGUCCAUGUCUUCAAACAUCUUACCAGAACUAAAGACUGUGAGGGAAGUGAAUGGGCAGCGAAGUGCCAAAGGCAAGCGGCCAGAGAAGAGCAGCAACCUGGACAUCCAACCUCUGGAAAAGUGAAAAUCUACUGGGGCCCACUCUCAUUUCAGAGAUUAUAACCUGUCUGGUUUGUAUAACCUCUGAGCCUUGAGCCUCAAAUACCAGGAUGCCCACUGUAAACGGACAGCAGGCUGGGUGCUGAGCAGAGUUGGAGAAUGAGAAGGAAAA